ensembl:lncRNA
GGAAAUUCGUACUGGUAUAGAGAUGGUGUCUUUCUGAGCUACGAAGGAGAGACUUAUGUUCUCUUAAUUCUUUAUAUAUAUUUUUUUCCUGUUCUUUUCUGACACUAGGCUGAGAAAUUCAGUUCUCAUCUGUUACAUUCUCACAUUGGUUGGGCCACAAAAUAUGGCUUGUUGAUUUGAAAACUGAUUUUGGAUUUUGCUCUCAAGAUUGCCAAAGGAAAUAGCUCAUGUAUUCUGACCUUUAUGACAGCCUGUGAAGCCUCUGCAUUUGAGGGGAUGCAUGAGAAAAGCUAAGGUGACGAGUUGGCACAGGAAUGGAUUUUCACUCUGGAAAAUAAGCUUUGUAUGUGAGAAAGCAGAAAAUGUUUGUUUUUGAGCAGAGAAUGCUUGUUCAUUUGCUUUUUGUGCUUCUGUUGGGCUUCAGUCUAAUUAUUUUGUCAAGGUCAGCUAGAGCCUAAGACCUUAAUCUUAAUGCUUGGUAGGCUGACAUAAACAAAACAAAUACUGAUACUAUUUUCUUAAUGCUGUUUCAAAAACCACUAUUCUCUCAAGCUUUGUCCUGUCUCAAAGUUUUCUACUUCAGCAGCCACAGACUAUCACUACUCUUCCCCCAGUUGUGCAGCAUCAGUGAAACUAAAUCGCUGGCUGGACAAAUGAUAUUGGUUUCCCCCAUGAAAACCAUGGAGUAAGCAGAGCUACCAUCCCUGCAGCAGUGGUCACCAGCAGGAUAAAAGGAAUGCUGCCAGAGGGCCGUUGAGAAAAGGGAAAAUAAGAGUGCAGUUCUCUCCUAUCACAAUGAAAGCUUGUGACAAGAAU